rnacentral:rRNA from 1 species
AACGAACGCUGGCGGCAUGCCUAACACAUGCAAGUCGAACGAUGCCUUCGGGCAUAGUGGCGCACGGGUGCGUAACGCGUGGGAAUCUGCCCUUGGCUUCGGAAUAACAGUUAGAAAUGACUGCUAAUACCGGAUGAUGUCCCCCUGAGAGAUCUUGGGGACCACAGAUUUAUCGGCCAGGGAUGAGCCCGCGUAGGAUUAGGUAGUUGGUGGGGUAAAGGCCUACCAAGCCGACGAUCCUUAGCUGGUCUGAGAGGAUGAUCAGCCACACUGGGACUGAGACACGGCCCAGACUCCUACGGGAGGCAGCAGUGGGGAAUAUUGGACAAUGGGGGGAACCCUGAUCCAGCAAUGCCGCGUGAGUGAUGAAGGCCUUAGGGUUGUAAAGCUCUUUUACCAGGGAUGAUAAUGACAGUACCUGGAGAAUAAGCUCCGGCUAACUCCGUG